GCAGCGGUGGUUCAAUGGUAGAAUUCUCGCCUUUCAUGCAGGAGACUCGGGUUCGAUUCCUGGCCAUUGCA
rnacentral:tRNA from 1 species